rnacentral:rRNA from 1 species
AACACUGGGAUAACUUCGGGAAACCGAAGCUAAUACCGGAUAGGAUCUUCUCCUUCAUGGGAGAUGAUUGAAAGAUGGUUUCGGCUAUCACUUACAGAUGGGCCCGCGGUGCAUUAGCUAGUUGGUGAGGUAACGGCUCACCAAGGCAACGAUGCAUAGCCGACCUGAGAGGGUGAUCGGCCACACUGGGACUGAGACACGGCCCAGACUCCUACGGGAGGCAGCAGUAGGGAAUCUUCCGCAAUGGACGAAAGUCUGACGGAGCAACGCCGCGUGAGUGAUGAAGGCUUUCGGGUCGUAAAACUCUGUUGUUAGGGAAGAACAAGUACGAGAGUAACUGCUCGUACCUUGACGGUACCUAACCAGAAAGCCACGGCUAACUACGUGCCAGCAGCCGCGGUAAUACGUAGGUGGCAAGCGUUAUCCGGAAUUAUUGGGCGUAAAGCGCGCGCAGGCGGUUUCUUAAGUCUGAUGUGAAAGCCCACGGCUCAACCGUGGAGGGUCAUUGGAAACUGGGGAACUUGAGUGCAGAAGAGAAAAGCGGAAUUCCACGUGUAGCGGGUGAAAUGCGUAGAGAUGUGGAGGAACACCAGUGGCGAAGGCGGCUUUUUGGUCUGUAAACUGACGCUG